AGCGAACGCUGGCGGCAGGCCUAACACAUGCAAGUCGAACGAACCUUUCGGGGUUAGUGGCGGACGGGUGAGUAACACGUGGGAACGUUCCUUUAGGUUCGGAAUAACUCAUGUAAACUUGUGCUAAUACCGAAUGUGCCCUUCUGGUGCAAGAUUUAUCGCCUUUAGAGCGGCCCGCGUCUGUUUAGCUAGGUGGGUUAGGUAAUGGCUCACCAAGGCUACGAUCAGUACCUGGUCUGAGAGGAUGAUCCGCCACAUUGGUAGUGGGACACAGUCCAAAAUCCUACGGGAGGCAGCAGUGGGGAAUCUUGCGCAAUGGGCGAAAGCAUGACGCAGCCAUGCCGCGUGAAUGAUGAAGGUCUUAGGAUAGUAAAAUUCUUUCACCGGGGACGAUAAUGACGGUACCCGGAGAAGAAGCACCGGCUAACUUCGUG
rnacentral:rRNA from 1 species